rnacentral:rRNA from 1 species
UACGUAGGGUGCAAGCGUUGUCCGGAAUUAUCGGGCGUAAAGAGCUCGUAGGCGGUCAGUCGCGUCUGCUGUGAAAACUCGGGGCUUAACUCCGGGCCUGCAGUGGGUACGGGCUGACUAGAGUGCGGUAGGGGAGACUGGAAUUCCUGGUGUAGCGGUGAAAUGCGCAGAUAUCAGGAGGAACACCGGUGGCGAAGGCGGGACUCUGGGCCGAUACUGACGCUGAGGAGCGAAAGCGUGGGGAGCAAACAGG